rnacentral:rRNA from 1 species
CGAGUUGGGCACUCUAAGGUGACUGCCGGCUAAAAGUCGGAGGAAGGUGGGGAUGACGUCAAAUCAUCAUGCCCCUUAUGACCUGGGCUACACACGUGCUACAAUGGGCGGUACAAAGGGUCGCGAGUCGGUGACGGCGAGCUAAUCUCUUAAAGCCAAUCUCAGUUCGGAUUGUAGGCUGCAACUCGCCUACAUGAAGUCGGAAUCGCUAGUAAUCGCGGAUCAGCACGCCGCGGUGAAUACGUUCCCGGGCCUU